AGUGGGAAGAGGGGCGGGACAGAGCGAUGCUGCCUGAACUGACAGCAAAUUUAAAUUACUGAGCUUUCUUUUUCUUUUUUUUUUUUUUCUUUCUUUCUCUCUUUUCAAGCCUUCUUUUUUUUCUCCUUUUUUUUUUUUUGUAUUUUUCUACUCUGCGACAAACUGAAAAGAUUCUAGCACACGCUAAUUUAACAACCCUGCUUCAGCGUCUUAUUUUUUUUCCCCCCUUCUGCUUCCAGGAUAAUUAAAAGAGAAACCUGUAAAAGCAACAUUCCUUCAAGCAAGUUGGUGCUGCAACGUGCUGAUAUUCAGCUCUUUUCAACAGACUAACAAGAAGUAGCUCAGCAGACAAAGAAAAGAGCAGGUGUGGAAGGCAGGGAAGAACAGUGGGACUCCUUCAAGACAGGAAAAAAUACUCUCAGGCAUGGGGAGAAAAAGAAAGAAUAAGUUGCUUUGUGCUACCAGUGCCUACAGUGGAGGAGCUAAACUACAUCCCCAACAGCAGUUCUGCCUCUUUCUCCAUGCACCUCAUUUUUUGCAUAAUAAAAGAAAAAGAUACUCUGUCAUGUCAUAUUAAAGAUAAUUAUCUCCU